rnacentral:rRNA from 1 species
AGUGAACGCUGGCGGCGUGCUUAACACAUGCAAGUCGAACGAGAACGGAUUAUAGCUUGCUAUAAUUGUCAGCUAAGUGGCGCACGGGUGAGUAAUGUAUAGGUAAUAUGCCUCUUACUAAGGGAUAACAAAUGGAAACGUUUGCUAAUACCUUAUACUCCUUAUUAACAGAAGUUAAUAAGGGAAAGAUUUAUUGGUAAGGGAUUAGCCUGUAUUGUAUCAGUUAGUUGGUGGGGUAAUGGCUUACCAAGACUAUGACACAUAACUGGUUUGAGAGAAUGAUCAGUCACACUGGAACGAAGACACGGUCCGGACGCCUACGGGAGGCAGCAGUGGGGAAAAUUGCACAAUGGACGAAAGUCUGAUGCAGCAACGCCGCGUGGAGGAUGACACAUUUCGGUGCGUAAACUCCUUUUAUAUGAGAAGAUAAUGACGGUAUUAUAUGAAUAAGCACCGGCUAACUCCGUGCCAGCAGCCGCCGUAAAAC